GGCGGACGGGUGAGUAAUGUCUGGGAAACUUGCCUGAUGGAGGGGGAUAACUACUGGAAACGGUAGCUAAUACCGCAUAACGUCGCAAGACCAAAGUGGGGGACCUUCGGGCCUCAUGCCAUCAGAUGUGCCCAGAUGGGAUUAGCUAGUAGGUGGGGUAACGGCUCACCUAGGCGACGAUCCCUAGCUGGUCUGAGAGGAUGACCAGCCACACUGGAACUGAGACACGGUCCAGACUCCUACGGGAGGCAGCAGUGGGGAAUAUUGCACAAUGGGCGCAAGCCUGAUGCAGCCAUGCCGCGUGUGUGAAGAAGGCCUUCGGGUUGUAAAGUACUUUCAGCGGGGAGGAAGGCGAUAAGGUUAAUAACCUUGUCGAUUGACGUUACCCGCAGAAGAAGCACCGGCUAACUCCGUGCCAGCAGCCGCGGUAAUACGGAGGGUGCAAGCGUUAAUCGGAAUUACUGGGCGUAAAGCGCACGCAGGCGGUCUGUCAAGUCGGAUGUGAAAUCCCCGGGCUCAACCUGGGAACUGCAUUCGAAACUGGCAGGCUAGAGUCUUGUAGAGGGGGGUAGAAUUCCAGGUGUAGCGGUGAAAUGCGUAGAGAUCUGGAGGAAUACCGGUGGCGAAGGCGGCCCCCUGGACAAAGACUGACGCUCAGGUGCGAAAGCGUGGGGAGCAAACAGGAUUAGAUACCCUGGUAGUCCACGCCGUAAACGAUGUCGAUUUGGAGGUUGUGCCCUUGAGGCGUGGCUUCCGGAGCUAACGCGUUAAAUCGACCGCCUGGGGAGUACGGCCGCAAGGUUAAAACUCAGAUGAAUUGACGGGGGCCCGCACAAGCGGUGGAGCAUGUGGUUUAAUUCGAUGCAACGCGAAGAACCUUACCUGGUCUUGACAUCCACAGAACUUGCCAGAGAUGGCUUGGUGCCUUCGGGAACUGUGAGACAGGUGCUGCAUGGCUGUCGUCAGCUCGUGUUGUGAAAUGUUGGGUUAAGUCCCUCAACGAGCGCAACCCUUAUCCUUUGUUGCCAGCGGUUCGGCCGGGAACUCCAAGGAAACUGCC
rnacentral:rRNA from 1 species